CCUGGUGAUCUUAGCGAGGGGUCCACACCCGAUCCCAUCUCGAACUCGGCCGUGAAAACCCUCAGCGCCGAUGGUACUAUGUCUCAAGGCAUGGGAGAGUAGGUCGUCGCCAGGU
rnacentral:rRNA from 1 species